AGGCAGCAGUGAGGAUAUUGGUCAAUGGGCGAUGGCCUGAACCAGCCAAGUAGCGUGAAGGAUGACUGCCCUAUGGGUUGUAAACUUCUUUUAUAAAGGAAUAAAGUCGGGUAUGCAUACCCGUUUGCAUGUACUUUAUGAAUAAGGAUCGGCUAACUCCGUGCCAGCAGCCGCGGUAAUACGGAGGAUCCGAGCGUUAUCCGGAUUUAUUGGGUUUAAAGGGAGCGUAGAUGGAUGUUUAAGUCAGUUGUGAAAGUUUGCGGCUCAACCGUAAAAUUGCAGUUGAUACUGGAUGUCUUGAGUGCAGUUGAGGCAGGCGGAAUUCGUGGUGUAGCGGUGAAAUGCUUAGAUAUCACGA
rnacentral:rRNA from 1 species